UCCAAGUAAAUAAGAGCAACUUGGACUUUAGCUAAGUGACCUCUAGGGACUUCAAAGAGCAAAGAGUAGCUGCUAAGUAAUCCAACAAUGACCUACUCAAAAUCAAAGAUUGAAUUUGGACUUGGCUUUUGAUUUGGGCCUAAUGAGAUCAUCCAGGCGUGUCUUGAAGAUCGGUUAAAGAAAGUGGUUGCUUAUUCACCAGCAAUGCUCUUCAUGAAAGGUACACCAGAUGCUCCUUCAUGUGGUUUCAGCCUUUUGGGGCCUUUCGAUGAUCUUU